UCCGUUUUAUGCCACAAUGCAUCCUCUUCUUGUUUAUUAUCCUCUUCUAAACUGUUUGAUGGCUUGGCACCUGAGGUGAUAAGGUUUUUAAACCAAGUUCCUUGACAUCGAGGAGUGCCUCUGUGAGAACUGGUGGGUGAAUCUGGAGAAACUGUAGAGUUUGAAGCGGCACCCAGAAGAAACCGAUAGGCGACUUUGCUAGCAGAUACAAUCUCCGUCUUGGCUUGCCGAAACUGCAAGAAGAGAGCAAGGAAAAAACAAAAGCUUAGGGGCAGGCUUAUAGAGAGGGGGCUGGCAAACAUAUAAGCAUGCCUAAUGGCGAUCCAACAAAAAUAAGGAAGAGGCGCUCCUGAAAUGUGUUCAACAUUUACAGAAAGGCAUCUUACCCGCACUGCUGUAUUUCCAGCUACUACCAUUGCAGCAUCACCAGCAUUGGCAAACCGAUUGAUCCAAGCUGCAGGAGUAAAAAUAUAUGAGGCUUUAUCAUUUUCUUAAUUCUCAUGCAGUGCUUAUCUUCGUAAACGUGAAACGGUUAAACGACGGGGCAAAUUAUCCAAGGACUAUCAUGUUAAGGCAACAUUUUGAUGAAAUCAUCCCGUCCCAUGUGCACUACCGUAUCAUAUGUAAAAUUAAACCGGUUGAUUUCUACAGA